rnacentral:rRNA from 1 species
GAGUGAAGCGGCAACAGCUCAAAUUUGAAAGCUAGCCUUCGGGUUCGCAUUGUAAUUUGUAGAGGAUGCUUUGGGUGAAACGCCAGUCUAAGUUCCUUGGAACAGGACGUCAUAGAGGGUGAGAAUCCCGUAUGUGACUGGAAAUGUUAACCUAUGUAAAGCUCCUUCGACGAGUCGAGUUGUUUGGGAAUGCAGCUCUAAAUGGGAGGUAAAUUUCUUCUAAAGCUAAAUAUUGGCGAGAGACCGAUAGCGCACAAGUAGAGUGAUCGAAAGAUGAAAAGCACUUUGGAAAGAGAGUUAAAAAGCACGUGAAAUUGUUGAAAGGGAAGCGCUUGCAAUCAGACUUGUUCAAACUGUUCGGCCGGUCUUCUGACCGGUUUACUCAGUUUGGACAGGCCAGCAUCAGUUUCGGCGGCCGGAUAAAGGCAUUGGGAAUGUGGCCUUCACUUCGGUGGAGGUGUUAUAGCCCAGUGUGUAAUACGGCCAGCCGGGACUGAGGUCCGCGCUUCGGCUAGGAUGCUGGCGUAAUGGUUGUAAGCGACCCGUCUUGA